rnacentral:rRNA from 1 species
AUUGAACGCUGGCGGCAUGCCUUACACAUGCAAGUCGAACGGUAGAGUAGCAAUACUUGAGAGUGGCGAACGGGUGAGUAAUAUAUCGGAACGUGCCCAGUCGUGGGGGAUAACGUAGAGAAAUUUACGCUAAUACCGCAUACGAUCUAAGGAUGAAAGCGGGGGAUUCGCAAGAACCUCGCGCGAUUGGAGCGGCUGAUAUCAGAUUAGGUUGUUGGUGAGGUAAAAGCUCACCAAGCCGACGAUCUGUAGCUGGUUUGAGAGAACGACCAGCCACACUGGGACUGAGACACGGCCCAGACUCCUACGGGAGGCAGCAGUGGGGGAAUUUUUGGACAAUGGGCGAAAGCCUGAUCCAGCAAUGCCGCGUGUAGGAAGAAGGCCU